UACGGAAGGCAGCAGUGGGGAAUAUUGCACAAUGGGCGAAAGCCUGAUGCAGCUAUGCCGCGUGUAUGAAGAAGGCCUUAGGGUUGUAAAGUACUUUCAUCGGGGAGGAAAAAAACAAAACUAAUAAUUUUAUUUCUUGACGUUACCCGAAAAAGAAGCACCGGCUAACUCCGUGCCAGCAGCCGCGGUAAUACGGAGGGUGCUAGCGUUAAUCAGAAUUACUGGGCGUAAAGAGCACGUAGGUGGUUUUUUUAAGUCAGAUGUGAAAUCCCUGGGCUUAACCUAGGAACUGCAUUUUGAAACUGAAAUACUAGAGUAUCGUAGAGGGAGGUAGAAUUCUAGGUGUAGCGGUGAAAUGCGUAGAUAUCUGGAGGAAUACCUGUGGCGAAAGCGGCCUCCUAAACGAAUACUGACACUGAGGUGCGAAAAGCGUGGGGAGCAAAACAGGGAUUAGAUACC
rnacentral:rRNA from 1 species